AGAGUUUGAUCCUGGCUCAGGACGAACGCUGGCGGCGUGCUUAACACAUGCAAGUCGAACGGGGUGUUUAUUUCGGUAAACAUCAAGUGGCGAACGGGUGAGUAACGCGUAAGCAAUCUACCUUCAAGAUGGGGACAACACUUCGAAAGGGGUGCUAAUACCGAAUGAAUGUAAGAGUAUCGCAUGAGACACUUACUAAAGGAGGCCUCUGAAAAUGCUUCCGCUUGAAGAUGAGCUUGCGUCUGAUUAGCUAGUUGGUGAGGGUAAAGGCCCACCAAGGCGACGAUCAGUAGCCGGUCUGAGAGGAUGAACGGCCACAUUGGGACUGAGACACGGCCCAGACUCCUACGGGAGGCAGCAGUGGGGAAUCUUCCGCAAUGGGCGAAAGCCUGACGGAGCAACGCCGCGUGAACGAUGAAGGUCUUAGGAUCGUAAAGUUCUGUUGUUAGGGACGAAGGGCAAGGGUUAUAAUACAGCCUUUGUUUGACGGUACCUAACGAGGAAGCCACGGCUAACUACGUGCCAGCAGCCGCGGUAAUACGUAGGCGGCAAGCGUUGUCCGGAAUUAUUGGGCGUAAAGGGAGCGCAGGCGGGAAACUAAGCGGAUCUUAAAAGUGCGGGGCUCAACCCCGUGAUGGGGUCCGAACUGGUUUUCUUGAGUGCAGGAGAGGAAAGCGGAAUUCCCAGUGUAGCGGUGAAAUGCGUAGAUAUUGGGAAGAACACCAGUGGCGAAGGCGGCUUUCUGGACUGUAACUGACGCUGAGGCUCGAAAGCUAGGGUAGCGAACGGGAUUAGAUACCCCGGUAGUCCUAGCCGUAAACGAUGGAUACUAGGUGUGGGAGGUAUCGACCCCUUCCGUGCCGGAGUUAACGCAAUAAGUAUCCCGCCUGGGGAGUACGGCCGCAAGGUUGAAACUCAAAUGAAUUGACG
rnacentral:rRNA from 1 species